UUCAAUUGUUAUAACAAGUUGUUGAGCAGAAGGUCAUGAUAAUAUGAUACAAUAGUUAAUUUGCAAUGUUCAGUAUGCAGUGCAUGCAUAAUUAUUAGUCAACAUCCUGAUAAUAUUUUCCAAGCACAUUUUACCAAGUCCAAUUCCAAUCCUAUAUUAUACUUCUACAUUAAGUAAGUAACUGAUCGCAGUGUGCACCUUAAGCCAUCAGCGAGUUUCCUUUCUUUAGGUUGUGCAGAUAUAACCACCAUUGCACUGACAGGACCUGGCUGGACUCUCUAGAAAUACCAGUGGUCACUUUAGUUGGAGUCAGUGUUAGCUAGACUUGUUCCUGGAGGCCCACCAACAGUGCAUGUCUUGGACAUCUCACUAAUCUGACACAAAUUGUAGGUCUUUUAAAGAGCAAUAAGUUGAAUUUAAAAAAAUGUUUGUGUGCCUCAAGGAAUGGUGUUAGAUUCUUAAAAUUUUUGAAAAGUUCACUUCAACGGUUUGUGCCAGCUCUGCUCAGUUUCAGUACAGCUAAACUGGAGGAACUGCACUGAUGCCAAGCUGAGAGUAAUGUGCAGUCUGGUACAUUAGUGCAACAAUAUGGUUACACAGGAACAACUACACUGGGACAUUAUGACAGAUCUGAAACAAGUCACCUGAAACAUCUCUCCUGUCACCAGGCAGACUCUUUACAGACACUGAUGGGAUUAUCAGGCGGAAGCGGUAUUUGUCCUCCAUUUUCUCUUCCUAAGUGCCAGGGACCUGGAUUUGGCUGGUUUAAAGACCAUCCUUGCCCAUGUAAAGAGUCUCUCUAAUCCUUGUCUCUCUAAGAGUCUCUCUAAGCCAGCGACAUCCUGCCCUUGAUGUUGCUGUGACAGUCAGAUGAUCCAUAUAAGCUUGAAUGGGCGAUUGUUGAAUACUGGCCUAGUGCACCCAGUAAUGUUGCCUUUUGCUAGGCGAUGUCAUGCGGAAGUUGUUGUCCCAGAGGUAAAUCUCAAGCUGAAGUUUCUAUAAGGUAUCUGGGGCUUCUUGUCUGUGUGGUUCUCUGAUGCUGCUACUUGUUCCUGACCCUCUUUUAGUACUUUACCACAAAAAUGUGUAGCAUUUUACAUGCAUAUCUUAUUGAAUGAUGCCACACUGGUUGCUUAUUUCAUAAAUGUUGUGUGGCCUUUGUUUGUUUGCUUACAAGCACCAAAAACUAUUUACUUUAGAGCAGCGGUUCCCAGUUUCCCAGUUCCGGUCCUCUCCCCCCUACAUGCAUG
ensembl:lncRNA